GCGUGAGGGAAGACUGCCCUAUGGGUUGUAAACCUCUUUUAUAAGGGAAGAAUAAGUUCUACGUGUAGAAUGAUGCCUGUACCUUAUGAAUAAGCAUCGGCUAACUCCGUGCCAGCAGCCGCGGUAAUACGGAGGAUGCGAGCGUUAUCCGGAUUUAUUGGGUUUAAAGGGUGCGUAGGCGGUUUAUUAAGUUAGUGGUUAAAUAUUUGAGCUAAACUCAAUUGUGCCAUUAAUACUGGUAAACUGGAGUACAGACGAGGUAGGCGGAAUAAGUUAAGUAGCGGUGAAAUGCAUAGAUAUAACUUAGAACUCCGAUAGCGAAGGCAGCUUACCAGACUGUAACUGACGCUGAUGCACGAGAGCGUGGGUAGCGAACAGGAUUAGAUACCCUGGUAGUCCACGCCGUAAACGAUGCUCACUGGUUCUGUGCGAUAUAUUGUACGGGAUUAAGCGAAAGUAUUAAGUGAGCCACCUGGGGAGUACGUCGGCAACGAUGAAACUCAAAGGAAUUGACGGGGGCCCGCACAAGCGGAGGAACAUGUGGUUUAAUUCGAUGAUACGCGAGGAACCUUACCUGGGUUUAAAUGGGAAAUGUCGUAUUUGGAAACAGAUAUUCUCUUCGGAGCGUUUUUCAAGGUGCUGCAUGGUUGUCGUCAGCUCGUGCCGUGAGGUGUCGGGUUAAGUCCCAUAACGAGCGCAACCCUUACCGUUAGUUGCUAGCAUGUAAUGAUGAGCACUCUAACGGGACUGCCACCGUAAGGUGUGAGGAAGGCGGGGAUGACGUCAAAUCAGCACGGCCCUUACACCCAGGGCUACACACGUGUUACAAUGGCCGGUACAGAGGGCCGCUACCAGGUGACUGGAUGCCAAUCUCAAAAGCCUGUCGUAGUUCGGACUGGAGUCUGCAACCCGACUCCAUGAAGCUGGAUUCGCUAGUAAUCGCGCAUC
rnacentral:rRNA from 1 species